rnacentral:tRNA from 2 species
CCUUCGAUAGCUCAGUUGGUAGAGCGGUGGACUGUAGACGAAGAAACGCGUGCAAACUGUCUCAAGUGCAGCUUACACACGAGAAGCAGCAGUUAUCCAUAGGUCACUGGUUCAAAUCCGGUUCGAAGGA